rnacentral:rRNA from 2 species
UACGUAGGGACCAAGCGUUGUUCGGAUUUACUGGGCGUAAAGGGCGCGUAGGCGGCGUGGUAAGUCAGCUGUGAAAUCUCCGAGCUUAACUCGGAACGGUCAGCUGAUACUGCUGUGCUAGAGUACAGAAGGGGCAAUCGGAAUUCUUGGUGUAGCGGUGAAAUGCGUAGAUAUCAAGAGGAACACCUGAGGUGAAGACGGGUUGCUGGGCUGAUACUGACGCUGAAGCGCGAAAGCUAGGGUAGCAAACGGG